rfam:Xanthomonas oryzae pv. oryzae KACC10331, complete genome.
AUGUACCACUCCUGCACUACGGUUCUGAACGCGACGUCCGCGCCCACCUGACAGCUGCUCGCUACGUUAUGUCAGCC